CAUUUGUGUCCCUGAGAACCAGUUUUCCCACAGAGAACUAGCCGUUUUCAACGGAGGAAAUGAUGGAGCAGACACGUGCGUGCGCAUCUUCAAGAAUCUCUUCUUGUUCUGCAAUGAAGAAAUGAUCCAGGUGGGUGCGCUGUGGCUGCCGAGGAUAUCUUGGCCUCUUGCAGGUCUUGUGUGUACAGAUCCAUGUAUGGCUGUCCCGACAUGCUGGCUGCAGGAUCUGCAGAGACAGGACAUGCAAACACUGGGCAGCCCAGUGACCAUCUGAUAGAUAGUUUUCUCAGGGCCCAGAUAAGUAUUGCCCGCUGUAAGCUAGGCACAGAUUGGGGGCAUAAGCCAGUUGGCAGUCCAUUGUAUAGAUGAGGAAAGGAGACUCAGCGGUCCCUCUCUCUUCAGCCUAUGAAUGGCAGUGUCAGGGCUUGACAUGUACAAGGAAAGGAUCCAGCUGUGUCCUGAAUCUACUGGACUUGUGGGUGGGCCUUUGCAGGUGAAACUUAACCAGAGGGGCCUUGUUAUGCUUGUGAAGGCUCAACUGAGACUGAACAGCUAGAGAAAAAAAUCUCCUAAGUUCCUCAGCCCCACCUCCCAGCCUUUAAAAGUCAACCUUGUAGAAUCAAGAGAACAGAAAGACCCAGCCAGUGUUUGUGUUCAACCCUAAGUCCCCGUGGCCUUGGAGAAAGUCCAGCCUGGCAGUGGGCUUCUCUGAUGUGGCCAAUGCCUCAGAGCCUGCCCCCCACCCCCACCCCAGAGGCUGGAGAACAAAUGUGAGCGAGUCACUGAAAAGCUGGACCUCUGGGCUUGAUUGUCCUGAGGCCCCAGCUUGGCCAUUCUUCCCAAGAAUUGUACCCUAAUGUUUGGCACCAAGGAAUACUGUUUGAUCUAAGUCCAGACAGCCAGAAUAAGACAGAGCCAAGACUCAAAGCACAGCUAUGCCCCCCAACGGCCGUACUUGGUGUUUGAGGUGGAGAAAAGGGAGACCUAGCCCAUCACUGGGAGUCACCAGGCAGAGACAUCAGCAGUGAACUCAGGACAGAACUAAGGAGAAUCCUGCUUGGCUCAAUCCACAGAUAUCAUCCAGAAGGGAGGUGACAGCAACUGGUCCCUACUCUAGCAGGAGAGGGUUUCAGCCCCCACACAGGCAGACUGCACAGCCAGCUCAGACCAUGGCAGCCUAAGUUGGAACAUCCUCUUGGUCUUUGACAACAAAGCUCAGCUACUAUUUGAAUAGGAAAGCCUAUACCAUCAAUCUACCAAAGGUCUGCUCCAAGCUGGCUGCCAACCAGUUCCUACUAAGAUGUUACCAGCUGGUCCAAUACAAUAGUUCUGAUCCUGUGGGGCGCUACAUGGGUUUCAGGACACAAGGGUUCCAGGCCACCUCAUUCCAACAGCCUCCCUUCCCUUUUCUGCCCCACCCUAACCCAUCUCAUCCCAUCUCAUCCUGUCUCAUCCUGUCCCAUCCCACCCCAUCGUGUCCCCCUUCUACCCUUCUUCUCUUUUCUUCCCAACAUAUCCCUAGUUAUAAUCCUAGAUACUGAAUUCCCCUCCAUACUUUCCCAAACUCAGUGAGCAAUGCAGGUUUUUUGUUGAGAUUGUAUCUGUGGGGGGACCAGUGACAUCAUCAACUGUGUUAACUAGCCAGGUUCACACUUGCAGAUUCUUUACAAUAUCUGUCUUUGUCUCUAUUUCCAUCUUUAUCUCUGCCUCUAUAUCUCUUUUUCUCUCUGUCUCUUUGUCGCUUUCUCUCUUUGUCUCUCACUGUCUCCUUCUCUCUGUCUCCUCAGUGGUGAAGCCACCCAUCAGUCACCUACACUCCUGUGGGUAACCCCAAUUAAAUUCCCUGGUUUGCCAAGCUACACUACAGUGGAAUUGUUUCUGUCCAGGUCCCUGUGCUGGUCAGUCUCUUGUUAACUUUGUCAUAGGCUGAGAAGAGGAAAUCUCAAUCAGGAAAAUGUCCCCCUUCCCCAACAGGUCGGGAAGCCACUAAGCAGUAUUCCUCUGUGUCUGCUUCAGGUCCUGCCUUCCCUCCAUGAUGGACUGUAAGCUGUGCACUGGAUUAAAGCCCUUCCUC
rnacentral:lncRNA from 1 species